rnacentral:rRNA from 1 species
AUACAGAGGGUGCAAGCGUUAAUCGGGAUUACUGGGCGUAAAGCGCGCGUAGGCGGUUUAAUCAGUCGGAUGUGAAAGCCCCGGGCUCAACCUGGGAACUGCAUUCGAUACUGUUAAGCUAGAGUAUGGUAGAGGGAAGUGGAAUUCCAGGUGUAGCGGUGAAAUGCGUAGAUAUCUGGAGGAACAUCAGUGGCGAAGGCGACUUCCUGGACCAAUACUGACGCUGAGGUGCGAAAGCGUGGGGAGCAAACAGGAUUAGAUACCCUAGUAGUCC